rnacentral:rRNA from 1 species
GACGAACGCUGGCGGCGUGCCUAAUACAUGCAAGUAGAACGCUGAAGGAGGAGCUUGCUUCUCCGGAUGAGUUGCGAACGGGUGAGUAACGCGUAGGUAACCUGCCUGGUAGCGGGGGAUAACUAUUGGAAACGAUAGCUAAUACCGCAUAAGAGUAGAUAUUGCAUGAUAUCUGCUUAAAAGGUGCAAUUGCAUCACUACCAGAUGGACCUGCGUUGUAUUAGCUAGUUGGUGGGGUAACGGCUCACCAAGGCGACGAUACAUAGCCGACCUGAGAGGGUGAUCGGCCACACUGGGACUGAGACACGGCCCAGACUCCUACGGGAGGCAGCAGUAGGGAAUCUUCGGCAAUGGACGGAAGUCUGACCGAGCAACGCCGCGUGAGUGAAGAAGGUUUUCGGAUCGUAAAGCUCUGUUGUAAGAGAAGAACGAGUGUGAGAGUGGAAAGUUCACACUGUGACGGUAUCU